GAUGAACGCUGGCGGCGUGCCUAAUACAUGCAAGUCGAGCGAACGGACGAGAAGCUUGCUUCUCUGAUGUUAGCGGCGGACGGGUGAGUAACACGUGGAUAACCAACCUAUAAGACUGGGAUAACUUCGGGAAACCGGAGCUAAUACCGGAUAAUAUUUUGAACCGCAUGGUUCAAAAGUGAAAGACGGUCUUGCUGUCACUUAUAGAUGGAUCCGCGCUGCAUUAGCUAGUUGGUAAGGUAACGGCUUACCAAGGCAACGAUGCAUAGCCGACCUGAGAGGGUGAUCGGCCACACUGGAACUGAGACACGGUCCAGACUCCUACGGGAGGCAGCAGUAGGGAAUCGUCCGCAAUGGGCGAAAGCCUGACGGAGCAACGCCGCGUGAGUGAUGAAGGUCUUCGGAUCGUAAAACUCUGUUAUUAGGGAAGAACAUAUGUGUAAGUAACUGUGCACAUCUUGACGGUACCUAAUCAGAAAGCCACGGCUAACUACGUG
rnacentral:rRNA from 1 species